rnacentral:lncRNA from 1 species
GAUUAUACAAUAUUAAAUUAUUGAAAAAAAAUAAUAAGAAAACGAAAAGGAUUAACUGUACUCAUAUCCGAGAAAAAAAUUCUUACCUUUGCUUCUUUUACACUGAUUAUACAAUAUUAAAUUAUUGAAAAAAAAUAAUAAGAAAACGAAAAGGAUUAACUGUACUCAUAUCCGAGAAAAAAACAUCUAGGUACAAAAUUCAUGAAAAUUGAAUAAAUAAAUAAUAAUAUUAAUAAUAAGAAAACGAAAAAUCUUACUUGUAAGACAGUGUUACAAAUAUCAUCGGAGAUGUAGAUUAGCCUUAUCGGAUCUGUACGUGUUCCAAAUAUCAUCGGAGAUGUAGAUUAGCCUCCUGUUAGAGACAACAGAUUCGAUCGUCGAUCGGAUCUGUACGCGUUCCAAAUAUCAUCGGAGAUGUAGAUUAGCCUCCUGUCAGAGACAACAGAUUCGAUCGUCCAUCGGAUCUGUACGUGCCACGUGUUCCAAAUAUCAUCGGAGAUGUAGAUUAGCCUCCUGUUAGAGACAACAGAUUCGACAACAGAUUCGAUCGUCCAUCGGAUCUGUACGUGCCUUCUCAUCUCGUUCAGAAUUCAGAAUGUUACGAAUAUGUGGUGGAAGCUGAGACUGAAUAAAAAAACAUUUAUUGAAAAAAAAAAUUAAAACAAAAAUAUGAAUAUUAAUAAUAAGAGUUUAAUGAAAUUAAUUAUAGUUAAGUGCUAUUAAUUACGGAAUCACCGGCGAUGCCGAAAAAUUACGGCCAUAACCUCCCAGAAAUCACUCGGAGGGUCCAAAACGAUGGUGCUACUUUGCCGGCGAAUAUUCAUCGACGUAAUCGCCUCUCUCAUCAUCCGAAAUAGGCGAUCAUUUUCAUCUCUCCUAUUCUCGUUCCGAGCAUCCUGUCUCACAGCCUUCACACUGUAGAAAAUCACAAUUCCUAUUCCGACGACCAAAAGGAUUGUCAAGAUAGUGCCUUCCGGCGAAAGUGGCGGAAAAAAGCGGCGGCAGAAGUGGCAGUGGAUGUAGAGGCAGGGGUAACAGUGGAAGUGCAGAGGCCAGAGAGAGUGAAGAAGUAUUGGAGAUUCCCGA